AUUGAACGCUGGCGGCAGGCCUAACACAUGCAAGUCGAACGAGUGGCGGACGGGUGAGUAAUGUCUGGGAAACUGCCCGAUGGAGGGGGCUAACUACUGGAAACGGUAGCUAAUACCGCAUACCAUCGGAUGUGCCCAGAUGGGAUUAGCUAGUAGGUGGGGUAACGGCUCACCUAGGCGACGAUCCCUAGCGGGUCUGAGAGGAUGACCAGCCACACUGAAACGGGAACACGGUCCAGACCCCUAGGGGAGGCAGCAGUGGGAAAUAUGGCAAAAUGGGCGCAAGCCUGAUGAGGCCAUGCCGGGUGUAUGAAGAAGGCCUUCGGGUUGUAAAGUACUUUCAGCGGGGAGGCGUUACUCGCAGAAGAAGCACCGGCUAACUCCGUGCCAGCCGCCGCGGUAAUC
rnacentral:rRNA from 1 species